CAUAAGAACUGUAUGGCCGUCAGGAGAAUCACCAAUGAGAUUGUGGAAGAGAAAGGGUGCAUGAACCCAUAACCACAAACUGUGUUAUAAGUUUACAGCAUGAUAUUUUUUUCUGCAGGGUGUCAUAAUUUUUGUUGAAGGUUCUCUUGUAUCCAAUGACGCCCAAAGAUUUCCAGACAUUUCUGAAAAGUUCAGCUACCUAAGGUGAGAAAGGAACAGUUUAAAAAAUUUUGACAAUUAAGGGUUGUAAAAUGUGAAAAUUUUUUCUAAGAGUUAGUAACCCUUUCACUCCCAGAAGUUAUGAAAACAGUAGAGUUAAUGUAAGUGGAAUAAUUAUGUUUUGCGCCUAACUCUGUGUCAUUUUAGCCAUAGCCACUAGGUGAGGGUAAAAAAUAUUUAUGCCUAACAACAUAAACUUUGUUAUUGUUAUUAUCAACUUUGGAUGGCAUCGUGAUGGUAAAAACUAAACAAAAUGACAACAAAAUCACAUGAGCACUAACCACUUGAAUGGCUUUUAUUUUCCUUCCAUGAAUGUACAAUAUGGAGCAAAGCUGGCUGGAAAUAACAAAAAUCUUUGCAUUUGAGUUUUAAAAAUGAUGAAAGGUUAUGAGGAGGUACAGGCUGAUCAGCUAGAAAGUGUUAUUUGGCUAUAUCAAACACCAACUUCACUAGACUUACCAAAAAAGAAAUGAAUGGCAGUCAUUGGGGAGAACAGAGAACUUAAUUUUGAGAUUCAAGGGCCUGCUGAUGCAACACAGUGUAGUAAAGUAUAGUGAUACUGUGAAGCCACGGUGGCCCAUUGCAAGCCUUGGUGAUCAGUGGAGAGGGAGUGGACAGAGUGUGAGACUCUUGUUUGAAUGGACACUGGACUAAUUCAGCCAGGCAAUAUCAGGUGGAAAGCAGAUAAACUUGAAUGCAGUGUUGAUUGAGAAAAGAGAGUGGAUAAGUGGAAACAUUUGUUAUCAAAGGAGUUUUUCAUUUCAGGAAGUCAAAGCGAUUAUGUGAAAUGUGAUGAGGAUCUUCGUCAAACUUAGAACUCCAGGGCUCUUUUUCUUCUACUUCCUUUAUCCGUUUACAGUUUGUCCGGUGAAACGAUCAAUCUUUCACAUUAUAACAGUCACGUGUGCCUUCGCUCGAGGAUGAAAUGGCGACCGAUGCGAAAUCUCAGCUUUAUUUUGCUGCGAGGAAAACAGCUACUGUUGGUAAUCUUUCGUCCAAACUCAUCUUUGGUAGAAAAAUUGUAUGUUUCCUUCAGCUUGGGCAGAAUUAGCGCCGUGGUAGAACAGGAUAAAAGACCAAUGGAAGCACGCUCAACCCGAACAGUUACUCUUGUUGGAACCUUCUUCUGGAAAGAUAUUUUAAAAUUACCAACAUAGCUGAAUGGCGGAAGACUGAAGUCCCAAUCAAGCACCAACACUUGAGGAUGAAGACCUUACAGCUCCAAGACAAGUUCAAAGCAGAGAUAGAAAAUAAAUUUUACCAGAACUCAA